rnacentral:rRNA from 1 species
UAAACCGUACUGAAAACCGACACAGGUGGUCAGGUAGAGAAUACUCAGGCGCUUGAGAGAACUCGGGUGAAGGAACUAGGCAAAAUAGCACCGUAACUUCGGGAGAAGGUGCGCUGGCGUAGGUUGUAGGAGUAUACCUCCGAAGGCUGAACCAGUCGAAGAUACCAGCUGGCUGCAACUGUUUAUUAAAAACACAGCACUCUGCAAACACGAAAGUGGACGUAUAGGGUGUGAUGCCUGCCCGGUGCUGGAAGGUUAAUUGAUGGUGUUAUCGAAAGAGAAGCUCCUGAUCGAAGCCCCAGUAAACGGCGGCCGUAACUAUAACGGUCCUAAGGUAGCGAAAUUCCUUGUCGGGUAAGUUCCGACCUGCACGAAUGGCAUAAUGAUGGCCAGGCUGUCUCCACCCGAGACUCAGUGAAAUUGAAAUCGCCGUGAAGAUGCGGUGUACCCGCGGCUAGACGGAAAGACCCCGUGAACCUUUACUAUAGCUUGACACUGAACAUUGAAUUUUGAUGUGUAGGAUAGGUGGGAGCCUAAGAAGCAGUCACGCCAGUGAUUGUGGAGGCGUCCUUGAAAUACCACCCUUUAACGUUUGAUGUUCUAACGAAGAUUGCGAAACGCGGUCUCGGACAGUGUCUGGUGGGUAGUUUGACUGGGGCGGUCUCCUCCCAAAGAGUAACGGAGGAGCACGAAGGUUUGCUAAUCACGGUCGGACAUCGUGAGGUUAGUGCAAUGGUAUAAGCAAGCUUAACUGCGAGACAGACAAGUCGAGCAGGUGCGAAAGCAGGUCAUAGUGAUCCGGUGGUUCUGAAUGGAAGGGCCAUCGCUCAACGGAUAAAAGGUACUCCGGGGAUAACAGGCUGAUACCGCCCAAGAGUUCAUAUCGACGGCGGUGUUUGGCACCUCGAUGUCGGCUCAUCACAUCCUGGGGCUGAAGUAGGUCCCAAGGGUAUGGCUGUUCGCCAUUUAAAGUGGUACGCGAGCUGGGUUUAGAACGUCGUGAGACAGUUCGGUCCCUAUCUGCCGUGGGCGUUGGAGAAUUGAGAGGGGCUGCUCCUAGUACGAGAGGACCGGAGUGGACGCAUCACUGGUGURCCAGUUGUCUCGCCAGAGGCACUGCUGGGUAGCUAAAUGCGGAAGAGAUAAGUGCUGAAAGCAUCUAAGCACGAAACUCGCCUUAAGAUGAGUUCUCCCASWCWAUAAGWSUGUAAGGGUUGUUGGAGACUACGACGUAGAUAGGUCUGGUGUGUAAGCGGUGUGAGCCGUUGAGCUAACAGAUACUAAUUGCCCGAGAGGCUUAACUAU